AGAGUUUGAUCAUGGCUCAGGAUGAACGCUAGCGGCAGGCUUAAUACAUGCAAGUCGAGGGGCAGCAUGAGUAGCAAUACUUGAUGGCGACCGGCAAACGGGUGCGGAACACGUACGCAACCUUCCUUUAAGUGGAGAAUAGCUCCCGGAAACGGGAAUUAAUACUCCGUAACAUUAUGAGAUGGCAUCAUCUUAUAAUUAUAGAUUUAUCGCUUAAAGAUGGGCGUGCGCCUGAUUAGGUAGUUGGCGGGGUAAUGGCCCACCAAGCCUUCGAUCAGUAACUGGCGUGAGAGCGCGACCAGUCACACGGGCACUGAGACACGGGCCCGACUCCUACGGGAGGCAGCAGUAAGGAAUAUUGGUCAAUGGACGCAAGUCUGAACCAGCCAUGCCGCGUGGAGGAUGAAGGUCCUCUGGAUUGUAAACUUCUUUUAUUUGGGACGAAAAAAGGGAAUUCUUUCUCACUUGACGGUACCAGAUGAAUAAGCACCGGCUAACUCCGUGCCAGCAGCCGCGGUAAUACGGAGGGUGCAAGCGUUAUCCGGAUUUACUGGGUUUAAAGGGUGCGCAGGCGGAUAUGUAAGUCAGUGGUGAAAUCUCUAGGCUUAACCUGGAAAUUGCCGUUGAUACUAUAUAUCUUGAAUGCUGUGGAGGUAAGCGGAAUAUGUCAUGUAGCGGUGAAAUGCUUAGAUAUGACAUAGAACACCUAUUGCGAAGGCAGCUUACUACGCAGAUAUUGACGCUCAUGCACGAAAGCGUGGGGAUCAAACAGGAUUAGAUACCCCCGUAGUCC
rnacentral:rRNA from 1 species